AGCAAAUGAAGGAGGAAUGAUACGAAAGACGUGAUCAGUAGAUCAGUAGAUUCCUAUCUAGAACUCCUAUCCGCCUCGUCCCUGCAGUAGAUACAACCAAUCAUAAGAUACGAUGGAGGGAACGACGGUGGAAGAUGUUAAAUAGUAUGUACGCUGAUGUAUACAGUUCACUAAACGAUGAUAAUAUUCCACGAAAAAAAAUUAAAAUAUAUAUAUAUAUAGAGGCAUGGCGCAGAAAACGAAGACGGGAGGGGAGGAAGCACCACAGACCAGCUAAUGGUAAUAAAUAUAUAAUUGAAUGGAAA
rnacentral:sRNA from 1 species